UUUACUUUAACUUGAAAUUAUUAAACUUUUCAGCUUUACUUAUUCAUGUAACAUUAUAAAUGUGAUUCAUUGCAUAUUUCUUGUAAUAUUCAUGCAAACAAUCUAAACUUUCAGGCAAAAAAUAUAUUUUCAAGUACUUUCGACUCGACACUAUAAAAAACCCUUUGACAGUCAUUGCUAACCAACUAAUUUGAAGAGUAUUACUUCAUGCCAAAAAUGGGUAAUCACCUAUGACAACCAAAUAUAGCUACAUAAUACAAUCUAAUCAUAACAUGUCGACUUAAGAUUUUUUGUUUGAAUACUUUGAUAAGUUUUGUGAAGUGUGUUUCUCAAGUGUCGUAUGUAAUAAAUCAUGUUUCCAAGUGCUUUUAUACCAAGGUACGAGUUCCCUAAGGAAGUAUUAUGUCGUACUUUACUACACUUCUAUUUGUCUGACUUCUAUGUACGUCUGCUGUAUUUUGGUUCGCAACAAGUUUUGUUUUGGAUUUAAAAACUUCUUUAAAAUGGCUCCACAUACGGGGUUCGGCAACUCCGCAACAAAUCGAAACCGUUCUCAAUUUCCUGGACGAACAUAGAGAUUUAGCUCGCGGGAGAUUGAAUAGUUAAACCCAGUCAGGAAGAUAACCUGAGAGUCCAGCUGUAAAAGCUGCCUAUAUACCACCACUAUUGACACAAGAAUGCCUGACUUUCACAACUUGUAAGUAUUUUACUGUGGAAUAUUGAGUAAUGCUAUUGUAAAUAAAUUGAACACAAUAUAGAUAACAUUUUUUUGAGUGUAUUUAUAAGAAAUACUCUUCAUAAAGAAUACAGAUUAACUUUAUACUAUUGAAUAAUGAUUGCAUCUUUUUUAUUAUGUUUGCAUAUGGUAUUAAAUGGGUCAAGUGUUGAGUUGAGAACUUUUUGUUGUUACUUAACCCAUUCAAGUGUCUUAGCCAUAUUAAGUUUACGCUGUUGUUCUGAGCUAUUGACUAAAAUUGGAAUGUUGUUUUGCAGCCUCUCGACAUACACACUACAAGGAGACGAUCUGCCAGCACAGGUGUAAGAAGCAGAUUGUAUCAAUAUGAAGAGGAGCGUGCACAGAGAGAGAGACGGUGCAAAACGCAGAGCUUGCAGGCAUCAGGGGGCAAUUGGCAGGCAUCAGUCCUACCCUGUUGCAGCUGCAUAACACAAUAAAGGAAUAUGUGGAUAGGAAUUAAGAUUUUGUUAGUGUUUUGUUAGUUAUUAAUUGUGUUUAAUAUUUCUUUGUUAUUAAUUUAUAAUGUUUAAACAGGGUAAUAGUAAAUAAAACUUUAAGUAUAUAA
rnacentral:lncRNA from 1 species